UACGUAGGGUGCAAGCGUUGUCCGGAAUUAUUGGGCGUAAAGAGCUCGUAGGCAGUCCGUCACGUCGGCUGUGAAAACCUGGGGCUCAACCCCGGGCCUGCAGCCGAUACGGGCGGACUAGAAUUCGGUAGGGGAGACUGGAAUUCCUGGUGUAGCGGUGAAAUGCGCAGAUAUCAGGAGGAACACCGGUGGCGAAGGCGGGUCUCUGGGCCGAUAUUGACGCUGAGGAGCGAAAGCGUGGGGAGCGAACAGG
rnacentral:rRNA from 1 species